rnacentral:rRNA from 1 species
GUCCACGCUGUAAACGAUGAACACUAGGUGUCGUGGGUAUUGACCCCCGCGGUGCCGCAGCUAACGCAUUAAGUGUUCCGCCUGGGAAGUACGGUCGCAAGACUAAAACUCAAAGGAAUUGACGGGGGCCCCGCACAAGCGGUGGAGCAUGUGGUUUAAUUCGACGCAACGCGCAGAACCUUACCUGGGCUGGAAAGUCAUCGGAAUCUUGGUGAAAGCCGAGGGUGCCCGCAAGGGAGCCGGUGGACAGGUGCUGCAUGGCUGUCGU